CAGCACGCCUUGAAUAGGCGAAUGGAAAUUGUAAGCGUUAAUAUUUUGUUAAAAUUCGCGUUAAAUUUUUGUUAAAUCAGCUCAUUUUUUAACCAAUAGGCCGAAAUCGGCAAAAUCCCUUAUAAAUCAAAAGAAUAGACCGAGAUAGGGUUGAGUGUUGUUCCAGUUUGGAACAAGAGUCCACUAUUAAAGAACGUGGACUCCAACGUCAAAGGGCGAAAAACCGUCUAUCAGGGCGAUGGCCCACUACGUGAACCAUCACCCUAAUCAAGUUUUUUGGGGUCGAGGUGCCGUAAAGCACUAAAUCGGAACCCUAAAGGGAGCCCCCGAUUUAGAGCUUGACGGGGAAAGCCGGCGAACGUGGCGAGAAAGGAAGGGAAGAAAGCGAAAGGAGCGGGCGCUAGGGCGCUGGCAAGUGUAGCGGUCACGCUGCGCGUAACCACCACACCCGCCGCGCUUAAUGCGCCGCUACAGGGCGCGUCAGGUGGCACUUUUCGGGGAAAUGUGCGCGGAACCCCUAUUUGUUUAUUUUUCUAAAUACAUUCAAAUAUGUAUCCGCUCAUGAGACAAUAACCCUGAUAAAUGCUUCAAUAAUAUUGAAAAAGGAAGAGUAUGAGUAUUCAACAUUUCCGUGUCGCCCUUAUUCCCUUUUUUGCGGCAUUUUGCCUUCCUGUUUUUGCUCACCCAGAAACGCUGGUGAAAGUAAAAGAUGCUGAAGAUCAGUUGGGUGCACGAGUGGGUUACAUCGAACUGGAUCUCAACAGCGGUAAGAUCCUUGAGAGUUUUCGCCCCGAAGAACGUUUUCCAAUGAUGAGCACUUUUAAAGUUCUGCUAUGUGGCGCGGUAUUAUCCCGUAUUGACGCCGGGCAAGAGCAACUCGGUCGCCGCAUACACUAUUCUCAGAAUGACUUGGUUGAGUACUCACAGUCACAGAAAGCAUCUUAACGGAUGGCAUGACAGUAGAGAAUUAUGCCGUGCUGCCAUAACCAU
rnacentral:rRNA from 1 species